ensembl:snRNA U6 U6 spliceosomal RNA
GGGCUCAUGAUGGCAGCACAUAUACUCACAUUAGAAUGAUAUAGAGAAGACUAGCAUGGCCCUUGCACAAGAGCGACACAUACAUUUCGUGAAGUGUUCCGUAUGUAA